rnacentral:ncRNA from 2 species
UUUAAUUUAGAAGCGCCUGGACUUAAAGCCUUAAGGCUUUAAGUUGACGAGGGCAGGGUUUAUCGAGACAUCGGCGGGUGCCCUGCGGUCUUCCUGCGACCGUUAGAGGACUGGUAAAACCACAGGCGACUGUGGCAUAGAGCAGUCCGGGCAGGAAA